rnacentral:lncRNA from 1 species
GUUUUGGAGUGCAGGCGUGAAUAGUCCUUUCUGUCCUGCUUUGAGUACUGCUGUUGGGUGCCUUGGGGGGACCUUAAGGGAGCUCGGAAGUUGAGACGUGGUGAGUGCGAGAUCACUGCCCACAAAGGGGAGGAGCAGGCGGAUGAACAGCCAGAGCUGCAAUGGUGGAUCCUCCUCCAGGGCUGCAUGGGACGACAGAUAGAUGAGGCUCUAGGACGGGCACAAAUGCUACCCGAAUGCAAACCACUCCGGAGAUCUGUAAAAGGACUGGCCCCGGACAGGAAGCACACUUUAAACUAGAGGCGGGGUAAGACUCGUGGGCCAAUCAAGGCUUCCGAACAGAACUGCCAUUCUGGCAAUGAGGCGGGGUCUUCCGGUUGCCUGCUGGAAGUUUGUUUUUGCUCUGCAGGAUUGAAGGGUUCUCCCUAUGCUGCUUUGAGCGCUGCUAUUGGGUGCCUUGAGGGGACCUCAAGUAAGCUCCAUUUUUGAAACAUGAGUCAAAGCCCCGGUGAAGAUUCUGUGACGGUUCAUUGUAUAAUUUAUGAUGAUGAAGAUUGAGUUGCAUUUUGCGGAAAAGAGAUGUUGAGAUAUCUAAGGCAUUGAGAAAUCUGUCAUGCAGACAUGCACACAGGGAGAGGGAGUACCCAAACUGAUGAGAACUUACAGGAAUUGGACCAUCUAAGCCCUUAGAAAGUGAAGUCCACUGUGUCUCAAACAAAGGAUGGCAAGUGUUCAUGACAUCAAUACUACCCAAGGCUUCAGAGUCAUUGGAUUGCAGGAUGCAGUGACUUAUGAUGAUGUGCGUGUGAACUUCACUGAGGAAGAGUGGGAUUUGCUGGAUCCUUCCCAGAAAAGUCUCUAUGAAGAGGUGAUGCUAGAGACAUACCAGAACAUCACUGCUAUAGGUAAGACUGAAUUUCCUCUUGCUUUUCUGAAUAAGGGACAAAUAUUUCUUUGUUAUUGAUCCUCUGUUGUUUCAAUUGAAGAGGAGGAAGAAUGAGCU